ACUUGCUUUCUUGGCCUCGUUACACUUACACACGUGCCUCCCCGGAGUCCAUGCUCCUUUCUCUUUUCCUCGCCAGGAGGACGGGAGAGCGUAGGGAGAGCUCAGCCUCGUGUGGCCAAUACCUGCGCUCCCUGCCAGGCAGCGGCUCACGCCAAUGGGCUGCCUCCUGCCCAGGCCCUGCCCCAGCCUGGGCUCAGCUCCGCUGUGUCUCCAGCAGAGAAGCCGGACAGCUGCACCUACGCAGAUCUGACCUUCCCCAGCGCGGGGGCCGGCAGGAGAGGUCCCCAGCCCGCAGCCCAGAGCCCCCCAGCGCCAGCAGAAGAGGUCACCUAUUCUGAGCUGACGCCAUACAGGGGACCCAGGUGAGCUGUCCAUCCCGGCACCCUCCCUGCCCCGUUCCCUCUGGAGUCACCGCACAAGGCCCUGGAGCCCGGAGCAACCCACCUCAGCGAAGUGACACUCAGCAGCCUUUCCUGGGGCUGUGAGCACAGCUACCCUCCCUCCCUGACAUGUUCUUCUGUACCAGACACAGGCCAGCUACAGCGCUUGCUUCUGCACCAGCUGUGUUCAGCAUCAGGUCCUUUGCUCUGCCAGGGAUCGCUGAGGGUAGCUGCAAUAAGGUGUGAUGCACACCGCCACUUACUGGCUGGACAGUACAACGCAGUUUAGCAUCCGCUCACAUCUCCCCCUUCCAGUUCUACGUUCCUCUCAUUCACCGCAGUUACAGGAUCGCGCUGUCUGUGAAGUUCAGGACGGAUCAGUCUGUGAAGCGUCUCUGAAUCGUCCUGGUUCUCUGAUUCCACGACUCGAACACAUGGCGGCUCGCUCGGCAGGCUGUCCGUUAGUUACAGUGAGCGGCUGUGGCCGGUUUGGAAUCCUUGAGUCGUCUUGUUCUGCAUCCGCCAUCUGCUGUGCUGACUGUUCUUUCUGCGGAACAAACUGCCGCGGUCGACGGUUCCUGUUGGACUCUGCACUUGGGCCUUGGUCUCACAUGAGCUGGGCACUGAAUUCUCUGUCUUUACGGCAGCUGGAGUUGCCCAUCCAUUUUCCCCAUCCCGUUUGACAUGGACACAGCCACUAGGUGCUAGACCCGGCAGCUCUGUAACUGGAUGAUGUGUGUUGUAACGUGUUCGUAAGUCCUUCUAGCCUUUUUAGCCGAUUUGGCUGCUCUCUGCAUGUCUGGUCACUUCAGAGAUAGAUUCUCCUCCCCCCUCCCUCCCCGCCGAAAAAAGCUGGAACGUUGUCUUCCUAUCAGGAGUUGUGCUGUUGGUGUUGAUCUGUAACUCAGAGGAGCAAGGAGUGCAUUUUCCUGCUGCAGGGUUUUCUUGGCUGUCUGUCCAGCUCUCUCAGCCUCUCCAGUCGCUUGUGGGGCUGCUAGUAACAGGAUCAAAAUCCUAUUUUGUUCCAAAUGACUUAGAUCCCGCUGCAGUGCACUGUGGCCUGUUGUCCGUCACAAGUUGUUCUGGAAUAUCGAAUGAGCACAAGUGCACUUCUAUGUCAGUAACCGUGACAUGGGAUGUCUUUCAAGUACAUUAUUUCCAUAUACCUGGAAAAACAGGCCACUAUGACCAGAUAGGGAUGUCCUCUGAACUUGCAUAAUCCGCAGCUAGUCUCUUCCAAGGUCUCUCGGGUAGGGAUGUUUGUACACGCUGUGGUUCAUUGUCUCUUAGCGGUGAUUUGUACUGGGUCUCCUUUCAAAAAUCCAAUCUCAUCAAAUCCUCCAUCAAGUUCUUCCACCUUUCUCACUAGGCCCAUCAUGGCUGCCGUGUUGCGGCUGAGAAGGUUGUUGGGCUUUGAUCCUUUGACCACAUAUUUCAUGCUUUUAUUACACCGUGUGCCUGUGGCUGGACAUGCAUCACCUCUUGGGAUGGGAUGUUUUCCACCCCUUGUGCACGUAGGCUGGAAUUGUUCCUCUUAGCAGGGAGUUCUCGCUCCUGGCCUCGGGGGGUUUAUAAUAACUUUUAACACUGAAGUGCUUUUUAUAGCUUUUAAGCUAGUUUCCGUUUUUUCAAGUCGCUCCUACCUUUUGUUCUGUUGUUGGACUAGUUCAGACGGCUUUGCUGUCUUGUUUUGUGUGUAGGGUUAAAUCCCUGUUCAGCUGUAGCUGCUGUGAACGGUUUUUAUCUGUUAACCCAGGAACCAGCCUGUCUCCGAUAUUGUCAUGUUUUGCUUUUCCCAAAUCAGUUUUCAGCUAAUGCUUGCAGAGCUCUUAUAAAACUGUCAACAUUUCCCCCUGAUCCUUGAAGCCUGUGGUGAAAACACUGUGACGGGUUGGGUCACAGAAACCCCCUUGGGAGCUGCCACCCGAUGUGCAAAGACUACCCCUGCUCCUGUUUUCCCUGCCAGCUCAGGACUCCAGCCCCGUCUUGCUGAGCCAGACACUCCCGUCUGCUCCAACACAGACCCAGGGUCUGAAUCACUUGUCCCAAAGCUGCAAGUUUACCUGAAAACAGCUCACAGAAGUGUGCUUGUCUUUAGCACUCAGAUGCCCAACCCCCAAUGUGGUCUAAACCCGAAUAAAUCCGUUUUACCCUGUAUAAAGCUUAUGCAGGGUAAACUCAUAAAUUGUUCGCCCUCUAGAACACUGAUAGAGAGAUAUGCACAGUUGUUUGCUCCCCCAGGUAUUAACACAUAC